UAGAUUUUUGCAUAAAACAGUGUUCACAAGGUAUAUUAGUGCCUGAUCGUUACAUUAAUAUAAGCACAUUACAAACUGUAUUGAAUGUAAAACAUAAGUCAAGGACAGUUACACAGUCGUUUUGUUCACGUAAUACUCGAACCACUUCAGAUUGGAUCACAGACAUUUUAGUUGAAACCUAUGGAACUAAUUCAUUUUUUAGUCAUUAACACACUUGGUCGUUGUGUUAUUAACGUCAAUCAAUGAAUUUUUUUAUCAGUCCUAAAUAACAUAAAGUAUAUUUGACCUAAAACCGGACGGGGAAAAACAAAGUAAUUGCCAGACGAUACGUUGUGUCGUGUUAUUCAAACUGGACUUGUACAGUUCGUUUUUCAUCGUAACACUACUAUCAGAAUCAUUUGUAACAACGUAAUGUCUGUUCUCAAUAAAAUAUAGUCUUACAUUAGAUAAUCAGUGACUAUGACAAUAAUUGUCGGCUUAGUGAAGGUCCUGCGUUCGUCGUUUAUAUUUUAAAAUAUUUUAUUGCUUAAUAAUAACUACAAGUUCUGAAAUGGAUGCAUUCGAUUCCUUAUACUCUAUUCGGACGUUUCCUAUAAGAGUUGACAAAAUAUGAACAGUUAAGGGUCAACAUGAGAUAAACAUUUUUUUUACACAUUUUAAAUAAUUUUAAUAUUAUGGAACAUUAUAAUUAAACGUCAAUAAAGAAACUGCGCGCCAAGGCGUUUUGGAUUAAAACAAGACCAACAUUGUGUCGUUGUCAAUAAACCUUGUAAAUAUUCCGCUGUUAGAAUGAUCACUACUUUUUUUAUACGUGACCUAAGAUAAUUAUACUUAUAUAAUUUAAAAAUUAUUCCGAGGUCAUUGUUUGACAAAAGACGCAUCUUCAAUAAGGCGAGCGCACGUGAACUUGUUUUUUUACUUUAGAGGUUAUUACCAAUUCAAUUUUACGUAAAUUAAUCUACCGUAUGUAUAAUGUGCUGCUUUAUUAUACUUAAAAUUUCUUGUUGGAUUUAUUGGACUUUGCAACGUGCUGUUUCCGUUGGAAGAUAGCAACGUGCGAGUGUCGGACACAAGGUCACUGGAGGAACCGGCGAGCAAGUGCCGGUGACCGUGGAUGUAUGGAGGCGGUGUGCUGCGGUGGUACGAGUUCUGCAAGGGGCAUUGCUCCUCCUGGAAGAGUCAAGGCCGAGUGUUGCCAUCUGCAAGCGAUGUAACUAUGAUGGAAAAUAUCGCAUGCACCGGCACAAGUAGAAAAAAAAAAUAAAAAACUUCAACGAUAUUGUUUAAAAUAAAAAUAUUUAGUAUGCUAAAUUUAUCCCAAAUUACGUUUGGAAUCUUGUUUUUUAAAUUUACAGCCGAUGAUUAUCGAUACAAAAGAAGUAGAAAGGGAAAAUAUUCAAUAUUAGCUAAUAUACUCUCUUAUGUCAUUUGAGUAGGUAUAACCUAACCCGGUAACUCUGUACAGACUACAGUGACGUAUUUUAUUGCCAGUCGGCGUUAGCGAUAUUCGAGAAUGAAGAGAACGAAUACAUUAAUGUCUUAUUAUUUAA